UGUUACUGCAUAAUGAGUUAUACUGAAACUAAUAUUCCUACUCUGUAUUUUGUAUUAUCAAAUCUUAUACUACACUUCAUUGUUUUUAUUUUGAUGUGAAGAGACAAGAAUGAAGGCUGGGAGUGAAAGUGCUGGUACUGGUUGCCUCACUUUUUCAGAUCCAAAGGUCAUUUAAUUGGAUUUAACACUAGCUAUUAAACUAUUCAUCAAUACAAGAGUUGAAGAUUCUCGAUUUGGGGUUUAGAGCCACCACUUUGAUGAUAAAAGGCUAGUUGGUGGAGCUUCAAACAUUGGAAAAGAGAGAAAAAAAGUCUCAAGAGCUAACGAAAAUAGGAAAAGAAAACAAAGGCCAAGGUCGGGGCAAAGUGAUGGUAUUGGAGCAGUUUGCUUUGACAACUAUUGACACAGUGAUAGCUUUUUACCCUAUAACAUUUCACAUUAUGCGAAACUGAGCAAUGGACUAGACAUCAUGUUUGGAAAAGAAUAGCGCAAGGCGACAUCUUUUUCUAUCUAGAGAAGAUAUUGUAGUUGUUGUAAACAUCUUUCUCUGCCUUUAGACUUUGAUAUUUUACCAUUUUGGACAGAUAUUUUAUUUAUUCAUUCAAGUAUAGGAUCCUUAUAUA